GUUAGCGGCGGACGGGUGAGUACACGUGGGUCACUUGCCUGUAAGACUGGGAUAACUCCGGGAAACCGGAGCUAAUACCGGAUAGUUCCUUGAACCGCAUGUUUCAAGGAUUAAAGCCGGUUUCGCCUGUCGCGUAGAGAGGGACCCGCGCCGCAUACGCUGGUUGGUGGGGGUAAUGGCCCACCAGGGCGACGAUGCGUGUCGUCCUUGAGAGGGGUGACCGGCCACACUGGAACUGAGAAAGGGCCA
rnacentral:rRNA from 1 species